rnacentral:miRNA from 1 species
GCUGACACAUCCCGGCCAAUCUCCAGCAGACCCUCCCUCCCAGACCCUCUCACCUCCUGGACAGCAUCCAUGUUGAAGCUGCCUUCAACAUGGAUGCUGUCCAGGAGUUGGGAGGGUCUGGGAGGGAGGGUCUGCUGGAGAUUGGCCGGGAUGUGUCAG